GAGUUCUGCCUCCUCUUCACCAAUAUCUGAGUGUAUUUAUUGCAAUAUUUAACCCUCAAAUAGCCAGGAUCACACUGGUCACACAUUUUGAUGGCCAUAAUAAUCUGUGACCUGACUGUACAGAACUGCAAAUUAUGUCAGAGUUUAAUUAAUGCUUAGCUUUCUGUAACCCGCAAUUAGUAAAGGACUUUUAUUUUUGCGGGCCCACUUCCUGUGUUGCCCAAACUCUGCUAACUUAUUUAAAGUCCCGCCUCCAGUGCACAGUUAAAGAUCCUCACCUGUUCCACUGUGAUUGUGGCUUGCUGUUGGCGUCUUCCUCAAGAAUUCCUCCUAAAAUCUUUAAAUCUAUUGAUUUGAUUGCUGGAAUCACUGGCAUUGUUUACCUGGACCGUCACUGGGAUUCUGUCAGUGCUGAUUGUGGCUCAGUACGCCCCACUCUCUUC